UACAGGGGGUGCAAACGUUGCUCGGAAUUAUUGGGCGUAAAGCGCGCGUAGGCGGCUUUGUAAGUCGGAUGUGAAAGCCCUCGGCUUAACCGAGGAAGUGCAUCCGAAACUGCAAGGCUUGAGUACCAAAGAGGAUCGCGGAAUUCCCGGUGUAGAGGUGAAAUUCGUAGAGAUCGGCAGGAACACCAAGGACGAAGGUAACCACCUGGGCAUCAGCUGACACUCAUGUGCGACAGCGUGGGGAGCGAACCGG
rnacentral:rRNA from 1 species